rnacentral:rRNA from 1 species
AGCAGCCGCGGUAAUUCCAACUCCAAUAGCGUAUAUUAAAGUUGUUGCAGUUAAAAAGCUCGUAGUUGAAUUUCGGGAUCAAUAUAUCGGUCGUGCCUUCGGUAUGCACUGGUAUUAUUGAUUUCUACCUUCUGACGAACUAUGAUGUCAUUAAUUUGGUGUCAUGGGGAAUCAGGACUGUUACUUUGAAAAAUUAGAGUGUUUAAAGCAGGCACACGCUUGAAUACAUUAGCAUGGAAUAAUGAAAUAGGACGUUUGAUCUUAUUUUGUUGGUUUCUAGGAUCGACGUAAUGAUUAAUAGGGACAGUUGGGGGCAUUAGUAUUCAAUUGUCAGAGGUGAAAUUCUUGGAUUUAUUGAAGACUAACUACUGCGAAAGCAUUUGCCAAGGAUGUUUUCAUUAAUCAAGAACGAAAGUUAGGGGAUCGAAGACGAUCAGAUACCGUCGUAGUCUUAACCAUAAACUAUGCCGACUAGGGAUCGGAUGAUGUUAAUUUUUAAUGA